rnacentral:rRNA from 1 species
UACGGAGGGACGAGCGUUGUCCGGAAUCAUUGGGCGUAAAGGGCGCGUAGGUGGCGGUCACGUCAGCGGCGGUGAAAGCUCGGGGCUCAACCCCGGCGGCCGGCUGCGAACUGGAUUGGCUUGAGCACUGUAGAGGCAGGCGGAAUUCCGGGUGUAGCGGUGGAAUGCGUAGAGAUCCGGAAGAACACCGGUGGCGAAGGCGGCCUGCUGGCAGUAGCUGACACUGAGGCGCGACAGCGUGGGAGCAAACAGG